UACGGAGGGUGCGAGCGUUUGUCCGGAAUCAUUGGGCGUAAAGGGCGCGUAGGUGGCGGCUUAAGCGUGCGGUGGAAAGCUCGGGGCUCAACCCCGAGUCGGCCGUGCGAACUGAGUCGCUUGAGCACUGUAGAGGCAGGCGGAAUUCCGGGGUGUAGCGGUGGAAUGCGUAGAGAUCCGGAAGAACACCGGUGGCGAAGGCGGCACUCUGGGACGGUACUGACGCUGAGACGCGAAAGCGUGGGGAGCGAACAGG
rnacentral:rRNA from 1 species